UGAGACCUGAGUGGGCUGCACGAGUCAUCCGCAGGCUCCUCUCAGCGCCUCCCUCCUUCCCGUCCUCAGAGCGGCUCGGACACUGGGACACAGAGGCUGGGUUCCUUUGUAUGUUGUCUUUAAGUCGGUUUUCUUUUGCGAGUCUAUGAAACACGGCCUGAUUCUCAGUUGGUUCUUCCAGCAAUUUUGUUGCUACAAAUCCAAGACUACGAAGGCUGUUCACACCACUGGAGCAGGAAAAACUCACCUAACUUUGCCAGCCUAGGACUUCAGGAGGCUUACCUUUCAUUCGUCUGCAUGGGGAAAACGACGACGAGUGGCCUUUGGGAAAUGGCACAGUAAGCCCAGCUGCAGGAGGCCGGAACCAGCCGUUGGCUUGGGCACCGAAGAGAAGAGAUGUCUGGCCACAAGGGUGCCCCCUCUCACUCCAGAUGUUGCUCAGCGGGCCUGGGGGAAGAAGGGAGCCGUGUGAUGCAGACAGAGAGCUCAGGGCAAGAGACGAAGGCCACACUCCAGGGCUGGAAGGGGCAGGGCCCCACCAGGGGCCCAUUUCUCCCCAAGGUGCCACAGGGCAGCUUCCUCACAGGGCUGGAUCAGGUCGCUGAGGUCAAAGGUCACCACCUUCUUGGUGGGGGGUCUUCUCAGAGUGUCUUCAUCUGAAGCCUGGUGGGUGAAGCGGCGCAGGUCGUGGCCUUUCCGCAUGGCUGACUUCAUCUCAUCCAGGUGCCUGGUCUCCUGCAGCCACGAAGAAAGGGGAGGAGGAAGACGGUGACUAACCACCCAGGCAGAUGCCGGAGGCCCAGCUCUGCCGUUUGUAGGCUGGCUGAUCCGGGUGAUCUCGAACAAAUUACUGAACUCUCAGUCUGGACAUUCAUCUAAAAAACAGAAAUACUACUUCUCCUAGGGUUGUGAGGAUUAGAAGAGAUAGAGUAUGCUACGUGCCCUCCACUAUGCCCACUCCUAAUAAAUUCUCAAAUGGUUA